rnacentral:rRNA from 1 species
AUUGAACGCUGGCGGCAGGCCUAACACAUGCAAGUCGAGCGGUAGAGAGGUGCUUGCACCUCUUGAGAGCGGCGGACGGGUGAGUAAAGCCUAGGAAUCUGCCUGGUAGUGGGGGAUAACGCUCGGAAACGGACGCUAAUACCGCAUACGUCCUACGGGAGAAAGCAGGGGACCUUCGGGCCGUUGUCGGCUAUCAGAUG